rnacentral:rRNA from 1 species
GACCGUGCAAAGGUAGCAUAAUCAUUAGUUUUUUAAUUGAAGGCUAGAAUGAAUGGUUGGACAAGAAAUAAUCUGUCUUAAUUAAAUAUAUUGAAUUUAACUUUUAAGUGAAAAGGCUUAAAUAAUCUGAAGGGACGAUAAGACCCUAUAAAACUUUAUAUUUAUAAAUUAAUAGUUAAUUUUAUUUAAAUAUAUUAUUUUAAAAUAUUUUGUUGGGGUGACAAGGAUAAAAUUAAAGAUAACUGUCCUUUUUUAUUACAGUAAUAUCUGGUUAGGUGAUCCUUAAAAUGGAUUAUAAGAUUAAGUUACUUUAGGGAUAACAGCGUAAUUUUUUUUAAGAGUUCUUAUCGACAAGAAAGUUUGCGACCUCGAUGUUGAAUUAAAAGAUCUUUAUAGAGUAGAGACUAUAAAAGAGGGUCUGUUCGACCUUUAAAUUUUUACAUGAUUUGAGUUCAGACCGGUGUAAGCCAGGUUGGUUUCUAUCU